rnacentral:lncRNA from 1 species
AAAAAAAAGGGCUGCACAACUUUCCACAACGCAUAGCCCCCUAUAUUUUUCAUCUUCCUCGCGUUCAUCGACACAAAAAUAACGCCCGGAAAAAGAGAAGCAAUCAGCCACAUUGUGAAGAAAAAAAAAAACUACGAAAACACAAAAGUGAGAGACUAAGAAUGAGCUGUUCCCUGGAAGAGAAUCAUCUCUUUGGUCUCUUCACGAUAUCUCCAAAUAAACAACAAAAUCUUCAGCCACCGCUGUCAACUCUCUAAGCUAAGAGAGGCGCAACACACACGACAAAGAAUACAAGCUUUCCUUGAAGAACAAAAACUUUGAGAAGUAGCACCCAAUUUCUCCCAAUUCGAUUGUUGUUUUGAAUCCCUUUUGUAACUGUCACUCGUUUUGUUCAAGUGUUGGAGUUUCGUUAAUUGAAUUUUCUUCAAAGUUCGACUUUUUCGGCAAGAGUCGAGGCGUCGUACGAGGAUCUGGUCUAGGCUGUUCCAUUUGUUCAUGGUUAGCAGUACCAUUUGAGGUUCAUUUCUUACUCACUUCUCCUCUAAAAUCAAUUGCUAGUUUUGCUUAUGACUCUUAAUGUUAAUCUCAUUUUUUGUGAAUAAAUAAAGGGAUCGUUGCAAGCUCAGUUUUAGUUCUGGCCAUUUAUGGGUAAAGUAUCGUUAGUUUUAUAAGCUUCACUAGAG